GCUGGGGUAACUUAUGACUCUUAUCAAAAGUAGCGAAAUCCCUCGUCACUUAAUUAGUGACCUGCAUGACGGGAGCUAUGAGGUUCUCACUGUCCCAAACUGUCUCUCAGCGAACCAAACUGUAGUGGGAACGGUCACUAGAUAUCCAGCGGGGAAAGAAGACCCUGUAGAGCUUCACUUUGGUCUAGUCUUGUAUAGUUCCUGCGGGGGUGUAGACUAGGUGGGAGAGCAAUCGAUUCUGAAAAACCACUACCCUGUUUGGAAUUAUGCUUACCUAUCACAAGGAAUAGGACUAGAUAGAAAGUUUGGCUGGGGCGGCACACCUUCGAAAGAGCAGCGAAGGUGUCCUAAGUUGAGCUCAGUGAGGACAGAAAUCUCACGUUGAGGAUAAGGCCAAAAGCUCAAUUUACUGUGCCUUUUUGUACUAGGAUCAGUUACGAAAGUAAGGCCUAACGAUCCCUAAAUAGCCUCAGGUGCGUGAGGAUUGGGGUGACAGACAAGUUACCUCCGGGACAACUGGCUUGUGGCUGCUAAGAGAUCAAAUCAACGCAGCUUUUUGAUUCUUCGAUGUCGGCUCUUCCUAUCCUAGUGAUGUACAAGUUGCUAAGGGUCGGAUUGUUCACCCGUAUUAGGGAUCGUGAGCUGGGUUUAGACCGUCGUGAGCCAGGUUUGUUUUAUCCUACUGGAUAUAGCAUCAUGAUAGUAGAUUGAUUUAGUACGAGAGGAACUGUUGAUUAUGGCCUCUGGUUAGCGAUUAUCGGAAACGGUAUGUCGCGCAGCUACGCCGUCUGGGAUAAUGGCUGAAAGCCUCUUAAGCCAGAAGCCCAUCUAGAAAGUGAUGCACGUGAUGUUGGACCGAUACGAAUAAUCAUACUCAAAAGGUCCGCUUCAUAGGUAACCCAAUGUAGAAGACAUUGUGUGAACGAAGGUACUGUAAGCAGUGGAGUGGCAUUACGUCCACGACCUGUUGAGGUUCAGCUUCGCUUCUAGGUUUCC
rnacentral:ncRNA from 1 species